rnacentral:rRNA from 2 species
AAACCGCCUAGAGGUAAACGGGUGGAUCCGCAAAGUCGGCCCGUGGAAUUCAGCUCGGGAGGUCGUGCGCCCGCGGUUGGGUCGGGGAUCUUUAUCGACCCUCCCACCUCGGGACCGCGCGUCGACCGUGUGCACUUUCCGCGGGCAGAGCGCCACGACCGGUUCUCGGGCGGUCAGAAGGCGGCGGGGAUGGUAGGCGUGCGCUUCGGUGCGCGCUGGUAUAGCCCCGCCUGUCCCGAUCCGCUUGGGGACCGAGGAGCCGCCGCCGGCGAAGGCCGCCUUGCCUUCCUGGGAGGUUCGACUGGCAGAGACUGGGCAACCGUGUCUGCCGACCGCCUCUUUGGAUGGAUGGGGUGGGCCCGCCGGCACAGGGUCGGUGGCGAAUCGGUCGGCCCUCCACCCGACCCGUCUUGAA